rnacentral:lncRNA from 1 species
UUAGCAUUUAGACAAGAGACUUUUUCCACUUAAACUGGACGUCAAGUGACUGAAAUCUUCAAAGUCUUCAUCAAAACGGUAUAGACUCAAAUUUUGGAAGUUACUAGAAAUUUCACAAUGAGAAGAUGCUAUUAGAGCACCUAGCCAGAAGGUGGCGAUCUUACCUUUGUGCUCAUAGAAAACAGUGUGUCCGUGACGAGUUCGCAAGGGUUCAGAAACCUCUGAGGACUGUAUUUCCCUAUUUGUAUUCAGAUACAGUUUUAUAGCAAAACAACAUGUUUUUUUUUUCUCUUAGUGAGAACGUGGAUAAAUGGACAGAACCAUUCUAUAGACAAUUUCUUCAAUGAUGUGUUCAUAUGUGAAAUGGUUACGAUCCGUAUGGAUGAGAAAAUGCUCUCCUAGCAAAUGUGAAUUCUAAAUCGUAUCAGUCUUUUCUCCUUCGUUUAUGAUCUGUGCGUCUUAACCUGAUAAACGCAGCUGCGCGGACAAUAGAACAGAAACAAUGUCCCUUCCUUUCUUUGUUCUUAGAGAUUCACCAUUAUCUCAGAAUCAAAAUCUGGAACCUUCGUGAUCUGGCUGAAGUCAGGAAGUUUCAGGCAAGGAAAUCAAGGAAGAUCUUCGGGCUUUAAACCACGGUCGAAGCUGAUAUCUAACCUGCAAUCACUGAAAAGUAGACAAUACAAUCCACCCUCUUCAGCAGGAAGCAGUUACACCCUUCUAAGCCCCAUGACCCUUCUGUCAUUCUUGCCGCUGACCUGGAAGGUGAGAAAGCUUUGACUUCUGUAGAGACAUCAUAAUGUUUUGUCUAUUUUUGGUUUACUUCAUAAGCUCUAUAUACAAAAAAGCUAAUUGGUCUAGCAAUGACUCACGGUGCCCAAAUUAGGCAAAAAGUUGUAAUAAAGAUAUUUUCUCUUAGAAAUUGGUCAUUGAAGGAGGGGUAUGUACAACUUUAAUUUGAUUUAAUUUAAUCAAAACGAACAUACAUUGCAGGUGUAAAAUGUCAAAGUGCUGAGCUAGCUAAGUAAAACUGGGUUUCCAUGUUGUCAGCUCUUUUGCUCUAGACAUUGUGUGGUCAGGGAACUCGGAGAAGAAUGGGGGUGGGGGAGGGGCUAGAACAGGAUGUCACCACAGAGAAUACGGGAACUAGAAUAGGAUGUCUAUUUAGCUUAAAGCAAGGGGAUUAUAAGAAGCCCUUUUGGCUACAGUCAAAGAAUUGCAAGGUUUUCGGUAUGGCAGGUGAAAACAAAGGCGUCUAAUUUCUUCACUGUUAAGAUCAAAUGGAAGGGAUGCUUGCAUUUGCCUGGUUAGCAGAGUAUUCAAAAUCAAGCCGUUUCUAUCAGGACAACUUCUUUGCCUCUCUCAGAGGGAAGGAAAUGAACCAGAACUGGAAAAGAGCCUCUGUUCUCCCUUCCAGUUGAUGCCGAGAAGAGACUGGUGCUUAAGUUCGUGAGGUCCAAGUGAAGAUGCCUCCUCCACCCCACUCCGGCCACCCCCACCCCUGUUUCCAUUCUCUUCCUCUAUAGGGCGCUGACCCAAUUCCCCAGGCUGUGUAGGGACCCAGCCAUUGUCACAGAAGCUCUGCUGUUUUUUAGGUGCUGCAGCUGUCUUCUCUAGCCCUCUAUCAUGUUCUUGAGAUCACAGCCCCUAACUUCUAACCUCAGAAGCCUAGCUAUCCUUACGGUCCAGUGUAGCAUAACCCGAUGUCUGUCUGCUUUUGUAGCCCAUAACAGAGAGAGAGAG